UACAGAGGGCCCGAGCGUUGUUCGGAUUCAUUGGGCGUAAAGGGUGCGUAGGCGGCGGGGCAAGUCUGAUGUGAAAUCCCGGGGCUCAACCCCGGAACUGCAUUGGAUACUGCCUUGCUUGAGUAGUGGAGAGGGAACUGGAAUUUACGGUGUAGCAGUGAAAUGCGUAGAGAUCGUAAGGAAGGCCAGUGGCGAAGGCGAGUUCCUGGACAGUGACUGACGCUGAGGCACGAAGGCCAGGGGAGCAAACAGG
rnacentral:rRNA from 1 species